GACGAACGCUGGCGGCGUGCUUAACACAUGCAAGUCGAACGCUGAAGCUCAGCUCUUGUUGCGUGGAUGAGUGGCGAACGGGUGAGUAACACGUGAGUAACCUGCCCUCUUCUUUGGGAUAACGCCCGGAAACGGGUGCUAAUACUGGAUAUUCACUGAUCUUCGCAUGGGGGUUGGUGGAAAGGAUUGUUCUGGUGGGGGAUGGGCGCGCGGCCUAUCAGCUUGUUGGUGGGGUGAUGGCCUACCACGGCUGUGACGGUUAGCCGGCCUGAGAGGGUGACCGGUCACAUUGGGACUGAGAUACGGCCCAGACUCCUACGGGAGGCAGCAGUGGGGAAUAUUGCACAAUGGGCGGAAGCCUGAUGCAGCGACGCCGCGUGGGGGAUGGAGGCCUUCGGGUUGUAGACCUCUUUCGCCUGUGACGAAGCGUGAGUGACGGUAAUGGGUAAAGAAGCACCGGCUAACUACGUG
rnacentral:rRNA from 1 species